rnacentral:rRNA from 1 species
CCUACGGGGGGCUGCAGUGGGGAAUCUUGCUCAAUGCUCGUAAGCGUGACGCAGCGACGCCGCGUGAAUGACGAAGGCCUUCGGGUCGUAAAGUUCUUUCGACAGGGAAGAAAAUGCCUAUAAGUAACUGUGUAUGUAUUGACGGUACCUGUAUAAGCAGCCCCGGCUAACGCCGUGCCAGCAGCCACGGUAAUACGGAGGGGGCGAGCGUUGUUCGGAGUGUUUAGGCGUAAAGAGCACGUAGGCGGUGUUGUAAGUCAUGAGUCAAAGACUAGAGCUCAACGUUAGUAAGGCUAGUGAUACUAUACUACUAGAGUAUCAGAGAGGAUUGCAGAAUUCCUGGUGGAGCGGUGAAAUGCGUAGAUAUCAGGAGGAAUACCGGUAGCGAAGGCGGCAAACUGGCUGGAAACUGACGCUGAGGUGCGAAAGCGUGGGUAGCAAACAGGAUUAGAUACCCGAGUAGUC